GAGUGUGAAAACUGCAAUAAGUAUUUGUAAAAAGAUGUUGCAGUUAGUGUAUUGAUAAGGGUCCAAUCAACAUUCAGAAAUGUACAACUAUUCUCCAGGUUUCAUUUUACAAGCCUGGAUUCAAACAAUAGCUGUCUCUCAGUAGGCAUUAUUAGAAGAGGUACUAAAUUAAUUAAUUAAUACUCUUAUUGAAUAGAUACUAUUAUUAGUGGUGGGUUAACCUGAAAAUGUUCAGAGGUUCACUUCAGAAAAUCCAACCCUAAGCUGCGACUCCUUCAAUUUCAGCUCAGUGCUGGCCCUUGGCAAUUGUUCCUGUUUCCUAUCUGACUUCAGCUCUGAUCCCGGGCUUGACUCUCAACCCCAACUCCUGAUCCAACCACAAGAUCUAACUUCCCAAGUCCCAGUUGUGACCCCACCUUACUAUAGGCCAAAGAUGCCACCCAUACCUUGUGUAUCUUCCUGUUACAGGCUAGAUAUCACAAUAUUCCCCCUCCAAGCAUAGAUCAAAAUCAAUAUCCUCCAUUCAGAGGGCCCAAAUUCACCCGUACUCUUUUACACUGAACAAAUAGAGGCCUCACAACAGUUACAGAACAGUUAUACUGAGGAAAGUUACAUUGCAAAACUAUUACUCAUAUGGCACUGGUGUACUUUAAUCUAGAUACUCAGCAGAACAGACAUGCAUUUCAUGUGGCAAGUGAUCAGCACUACGGGGGCAUAUGCAGAAGGUGGCCAGGAAUAUGGAGACAGAAUUAAGGCCAUUUGUCAUAGAAUAAGCACUGCAGUUAGAGCUGGCUGAAGCAUGUUCGAUUUAUCUGCAUAUGAGAGUUCCCAAAAAUGCACUAAUACGGUAUUAAAAUACCAUUAAUGUGAUGGCAAGUAGUUCACAGCCACGGAAAUGAAAGUCAUGGUCAAAGAAAAAUUGGAAGCUUUGGACAGGCUGAAAUCAGGAAUGAGCCAAGCGAAGGUCUCAAAAGAACUAGAAGGAGGGGAAUCAACAUUAAGAGGGUGGAUCAAAGAUGAGGAAAAAUUAUGAUCAAUGCUAGUUGAACUGGAUGAAAGUGAAGGCCUGGAAAGGAAGCGCCUAAAAACUGCCCAGAUAACCAUCUAGACAGAGCAGUAUUGAUGUGGUUUACCCAAGAACGCUCCGACGGCACGCCAAUUUCCAGUGACAUUAUAAGGAAACAAGCGGAGAAACUGAAGAAGGAUCUCGAUUUUUAGAUGCUCAGGCGAGGAUGCUUCUGCACAUCAAGGUAACGAAUUUAAAGCUAGCUGUGGAUGGCUUAAUGGUUUUGAAAACGUCAUGGCAUUUGGCAAAUCACAAUUUCAGGAGAGACGUGCUCCGUAGAUAUAAAAGCUUGUGACAAAUACCCACUAAAGUUACAAGAGAUCAUCAUCGAGGGUAGCUAUGUUCCGGAGCAAAUCUAUAACGCUGAUGAAACCGGCUUAUGUUACCGUAUGCUGCCGGAUAGAACACUUGCUUCUAGGACCAAAGAACAAAAGGCCAAAGGUUUUAAGGUGAUAAAAGAGAGAGUGACAAUACUUUUUUGCAUGAAUAAAACUGGUUCACAUAAACUUAAACCUCUGUGCACAGGCAGAUCCAGGUCACCUAGGGCUUUCCACCAUAAGAACAUGGAUUCGGUUUCAUUCAUUUAUCUCCAUUCAAAAAAUGCCUGGAUGACAUCGGAUAUUUUCAAGGAAUGGUUUAAGAAAUAUUUUGUACCAGCUGUCUGGAGCCACAUACGCAGAUAAAACCUAGAGCCAAAGGCAUUGCUUCUGCUUGACAACUGUCCCACCCACCCCCCAGUUGAGACCUUAACCAGCAAAGACGGGAAGAUAAAGGUGAGCUACCUUCCUAAGAACACGACAUCCAAAAUACAGCCCCUCGAUCAAGGCAUUAUAGCCAAAUUUAAAAUGAACUAUCGUAAAGCCCUAGUAAAGAAAACUGUUGAGGACAACUCAAUGCAGCAAUGCCCCUCUGCCAAGUACAUUGACCAAACCGGACAGUCUCUAUGUAAAAGAAUAAAUGAACACAAAUCAGACGUCGAGAAUUAUAACAUUCAAAAACCAGUUGAAGAACAC